AAGUGGUAGGAGAGCGUUCUAUUUGCGUCGAAGGUAUACCGGUAAGGAGUGCUGGAGCGAAUAGAAGUGAGCAUGCAGGCAUGAGUAGCGAUAAUUAAUGUGAGAAUCAUUAACGCCGUAAACCCAAGGUUUCCUACGCGAUGCUCGUCAUCGUAGGGUUAGUCGGGUCCUAAGUCGAGUCCGAAAGGGGUAGACGAUGGCAAAUUGGUUAAUAUUCCAAUACCAACAUUAGUGUGCGAUGGAAGGACGCUUAGGGCUAAGGGGGCUAGCGGAUGGAAGUGCUAGUCUAAGGUCGUAGGAGGUUAUACAGGCAAAUCCGUAUAACAAUACUCCGAGAACUGAAAGGCUUUUUGAAGUCUUCGGAUGGAUAGAAGAACCCCUGAUGCCAUCGAGCCAAGAAAAGUUUCUAAGUUUAGCUAAUGUUGCCCGUACCGUAAACCGACACAGGUGGGUGGGAUGAGUAUUCUAAGGCGCGUGGAAGAACUCUCUUUAAGGAACUCUGCAAAAUAGCACCGUAUCUUCGGUAUAAGGUGUGGUUCGCUUCGUAUUAGGAUUUACUCCGAAAGCGAAGAAACUUACAACAAAGAGUCCCUCCCGACUGUUUACCAAAAACACAGCACUCUGCUAACUCGUAAGAGGAUGUAUAGGGUGUGACGCCUGCCCGGUGCUCGAAGGUUAAUUGAUGGGGUUAGCAUUAGCGAAGCUCUUGAUCGAAGCCCGAGUAAACGGCGGCCGUAACUAUAACGGUCCUAAGGUAGCGAAAUUCCUUGUCGGUUAAAUACCGACCUGCAUGAAUGGCGUAACGAGAUGGGAGCUGUCUCAAAGAGGGAUCCAGUGAAAUUGUAGUGGAGGUGAAAAUUCCUCCUACCCGCGGCAAGACGGAGAGACCCCGUGGACCUUUACUACAGCUUGACACUGCUAUUUGGAUAAGAAUGUGCAGGAUAGGUGGGAGGCUUUGAGUAUAUGACGCCAGUUGUAUAUGAGCCAUUGUUGAGAUACCACUCUUUCUUAUUUGGGUAGCUAACCAGCUUGAGUUAUCCUCAAGUGGGACAAUGUCUGGUGGGUAGUUUGACUGGGGCGGUCGCCUCCCAAAUAAUAACGGAGGCUUACAAAGGUUGGCUCAGAACGGUUGGAAAUCGUUCGUAGAGUAUAAAGGUAUAAGCCAGCUUAACUGCAAGACAUACAAGUCAAGCAGAGACGAAAGUCGGUCUUAGUGAUCCGGUGGUUCUGUGUGGAAGGGCCAUCGCUCAAAGGAUAAAAGGUACCCCGGGGAUAACAGGCUGAUCUCCCCCAAGAGCUCACAUCGACGGGGAGGUUUGGCACCUCGAUGUCGGCUCAUCGCAUCCUGGGGCUGGAGCAGGUCCCAAGGGUAUGGCUGUUCGCCAUUUAAAGCGGUACGCGAGCUGGGUUCAGAACGUCGUGAGACAGUUCGGUCCCUAUCUGCCGUGGGCGUAAGAAGAUUGAAGAGAUUUGACCCUAGUACGAGAGGACCGGGUUGAACAAACCACUGGUGUAGCUGUUGUUCUGCCAAGAGCAUCGCAGCGUAGCUAAGUUUGGAAAGGAUAAACGCUGAAAGCAUCUAAGCGUGAAGCCAACUCUAAGAUGAAUCUUCUCUAAGCUCUCUAGAAGACUACUAGUUUGAUAGGCUGGGUGUGUAAUGGAUGAAAGUCCUUUAGCUGACCAGUACUAAUAGAGCGUUUGGCUUAUCUUUA
rnacentral:rRNA from 1 species